AUCCCAUGGUGAGGAUAAGCUAAGAGGUACUCUUGGAAGAGCUCUCAUGCUUCAGGAAUUGACUCUUCUGAUAUCUGCUGGAAGUUGGAAAUCCUUCCAUGAAGGGU
rnacentral:snoRNA from 1 species